ACCACUCCCACAAACGUCUACGACCGCGCCUACAUAUUUUUGCAUCUUUACGAUUCUAAUUUUAAACAGCCAAUCCACGUUUAAUUGUAAUUGUUACCAAGAACCCGAUUGGCUGUUCAAAAUUAGAAUUGUAAACAUGCAAAAAUAUAUGUAGGUGCGGUCGAAGACGUUGGUGGGAGUGGC
rnacentral:miRNA from 1 species